AGAUAUGAGGGGGAUCAGGCUGUGACAUUGGUCACCCCACUGACUGCCAGGUUGAUUGGGCUAAUCUGGGUGGCUAGACAGAUGUCACCUUCCACCAUCACCACUCCAUGAAUGUCCUUCCCAAAUCAUUGAGCUCUGUCAAUGAGGCCCCCUUUCCUCUACUAAGGAGGACCAUUCUUCAGGGUAUAAAAGUAGCUGCCCUUGUUUGCUAGAACCUCCAGACAAGGUCUCAAGAAAGACAAUUCUCUUCACUUCCUAAAUAGAAAAGGUGAACUUGAAAAUCAAAGAGUAUUCGUUAAGGUUGGAGAGCAGCCUUGUAAG
rnacentral:snRNA from 1 species